UUGGAUCAUCAUCUAGCCUUGAUCAAUGGUUGAGAAUGCUCCCUAUUUUUCAUGCGUGAGAAGAAAUGAAGAGAGGCAUGAGUACGGUGGAUUUCAUGAAGAGGUGCUUAGGGAAUGGAUAAGGAUGAAGCGCCAUAUCAUAAGCACUUCAUCUUAUCCUAACUACUUCUGAUAUGCCCUCUCAUCAAAUGACACAUCCCUUGAUCUCACGCCCCUCUUGAUGCAUGAAUGGAUGGCUAC
rnacentral:lncRNA from 1 species